rnacentral:rRNA from 1 species
ACAUGUCUUCAACAUAGUGUUAAUGCGCCAGAUCUCGUUAGAAAUCCACAGUUAAGUGCGCUUAGGCUAGAGUAUUACUAGGAUGGGUGAUUUCCCGAGAAGUCCUAGUGUUUUACAUGCC